UGGGGAAUAUUGGGGCAAUGGGGCGCAAGCCUGACCCAGCAACGCCGCGUGAAGGAAGAAGGCUUUCGGGUUGUAAACUUCUUUUAAGGGGGAAGAGAAGAAGACGGUACCCCUAGAAUAAGCUACGGCUAACUACGUGCCAGCAGCCGCGGUAAUACGUAGGUUGCAAGCGUUGUCCGGAUUUACUGGGUGUAAAGGGCGUGUAGGCGGAGAUGCAAGUUGGGAGUGAAAUGCAGGGGCUCAACCCCUGAACUGCUUUCAAAACUGCAUCCCUCGAGUAUCGGAGAGGCAAGCGGAAUUCCUAGUGUAGCGGUGAAAUGCGUAGAUAUUAGGAGGAACACCAGUGGCGAAGGCGGCUUGCUGGACGACAACUGACGCUGAGGCGCGAAAGCGUGGGGAGCAAACAGGAUUAGAUACCCUGGUAGU
rnacentral:rRNA from 1 species